AACAACGUUCCUUUAAUACGCGUUGUCAAAAUGAAAUUUAGAAAAAAUUUCGCAACGCAAACAUGCGUGUUGUGAUAUCUUUAAGUUCUACAACGUGCAAACCAUGUUGUCAACUUGUUUCAUUUUUUUAAAGGAAAUAUACGCAAAAAUUAUGCGGGAGAACUCCCUCUCUUUCAAAAUAUUAAAACAUUCGAAAGUUUUUUAAAACCCCUCUUUUUUCUGAAUAAUAUUUCACAGCCCCUCUUUCUUUUGCAAAUCACUCUCACACUGCUAAACCUAGGGAAAAAUCCAAUAUCCCAACCUCUUUUGCUCCAUCCCAGCCAUCUCUCUCUCUCUCUCUCUCUCUCUCUCUCUCUCUCUCUCUCUCUCUCUCACUCAUGGAUCCUCUCUUUGCUCAUCAUCCACUGCCUCUGUCAUUGCCAACUUCACAGCCUCUCAAUCUCUUAUCGCCGUCAUCAAAUCCCUCAAUGCUUUGCUCUCUCAUCGCGAACCACUACUUCUUUUGUCUUAGAUCUACAAUUCUUAAGGCCAAUCCUAAUAUUUGUUGUUCUUUGCAGGUAUUGGCCUUCAUCACCGAGCCCACCAGCAUCUUUCCACCACUAACUUGCUCAGCCUCAUUUAGGAAAAAAUUGAGUGGCCUCCAGGUUUUGAUACUGGUUUUGUGCUGAUUACAUGUGUUGAUUUUGGUUCCCUUUAACAAAUGGGUAAGCUUUCAUCUUUCAAAAGCUGUCCCUUUAAUAGGGGAAGAAGAAAAUAGAAGGAAAGGGCGCAUUAAGGGUCCUCCCGUUGGACAGAUAUUGAUGUUAACCUUUCCUAACUUCUGUGCGACCUUAAGAUGGAUAGUAUGGGUGCUUCUUGGAAUGAUAGGUGCACAUUGGUUAGAUAAUAUUCCGCAAUUGGACAAAGGGUUUGAAACACAACUAAUCAGGUUUCUUGAUAAUGCUUUACAAGGAUUUUAAAUUGUAAUUAUACUAUGCAUAGUUCAAUUUCCCUUCAUAUGGAUAAAUGUAAGUUGACAAUGAAUCUUUCUAUGGAGUUAUUUUUUGAAUGAAAACUCUUUAUUAUGGGUUACA